rnacentral:rRNA from 1 species
GAUGAACGCUGGCGGCGUGCCUAAUACAUGCCAGUCGAGCGAACAGACGAGGAGCUUGCUCCUCUGACGUUAGCGGCGGACGGGUGAGUAACACGUGGAUAACCUACCUAUAAGACUGGGAUAACUUCGGGAAACCGGAGCUAAUACCGGAUAAUAUAUUGAACCGCAUGGUUCAAUAGUGAAAGACGGUUUUGCUGUCACUUAUAGAUGGAUCCGCGCCGCAUUAGCUAGUUGGCAAGGUAACGGCUUACCAAGGCAACGAUGCGUAGCCGACCUGAGAGGGUGAUCGGCCACACUGGAACUGAGACACGGUCCAGACUCCUACGGGAGGCAGCAGUAGGGAAUCUUCCGCAAUGGGCGAAAGCUUGACGGAGCAACGCCGCGUGAGUGAUGAAGGUCUUCGGAUCGUAAAACUCUGUUAUUAGGGAAGAACAAAUGUGUAAGUAACUAUGCACGUCUUGACGGUACCUAAUCAGAAAGCCACGGCUAACUACGUG